AUGGUGAAUGUUCCUAAAACCCGCCGGACUUUCUGUAAGAAGUGUGGCAAGCGCCAACCCCACAAAGUGACACAGUACAAGAAGGGCAAGCAUUCUCUGCAUGCCCAGGGAAAGCGAUAUUAUGACAGGGAGCAGAGUGGCUAUGGUGCCUGCCCAGGGAAAGCGGUGUUAUGACAGGAAGCAGAGUGGCUAUGGUGGGCAGACUAAGCCGAUUUUCUGGAAAAAGGCUAAAACUACAAAGAAGAUUGUGCUAAGGCUUGAGUGUGUUGAGCCCAACUGCAGAUCUAAGCGAACACUGGCUAUUAAAAGAUGCAAGCAUUUUGAGCUGGGAGGAGAUAAGAAGAGAAAGGGCCAAGUGAUCCAGUUCUAA
rnacentral:lncRNA from 1 species